GAUGACAGCGGUGGUUCGGACAUC
rnacentral:miRNA from 1 species